rnacentral:rRNA from 1 species
AACGAACGCUGGCGGCAUGCCUAACACAUGCAAGUCGAACGAGACCUUCGGGUCUAGUGGCGCACGGGUGCGUAACGCGUGGGAAUCUACCCUUGGGUUCGGAAUAACAGUUAGAAAUGACUGCUAAUACCGGAUGAUGACGUAAGUCCAAAGAUUUAUCGCCCAAGGAUGAGCCGGCGUAAGAUUAGCUUGUUGGUGGGGUAAUGGCCUACCAAGGCGACGAUCUUUAGCUGGUCUGAGAGGAUGAUCAGCCACACUGGGACUGAGACACGGCCCAGACUCCUACGGGAGGCAGCAGUGGGGAAUAUUGGACAAUGGGCGAAAGCCUGAUCCAGCAAUGCCGCGUGAGUGAUGAAGGCCUUAGGGUUGUAAAGCUCUUUUACCAGGGAUGAUAGUGACAGUACCUGGAGAAUAAGCUCCGGCUAACUCCGUGCCAGCAGCCGCAGUAA